GCGCGCACACAUAUACACACACACAGACAGACACACACUCACACAGACACACACACACACACACGGCUGGAGCAUACAGCAGCUGUAACAGAUCAGCCCCACACAGGCCAGCUGUCCACUCUGGCAAAACUCCCCAGCGUUGUGGGCUUUGGGUCUGAACCCACCUUCCCUCCCUGUGAAAUCCACCCGACCAUUCUGCCCUUCUAGCCCCCUCCUCUCCCAGUGGGCGAUGCCAACCAUGCCACGUCACCGUCUCCGUCCCGAGAGCAAGCCCGCUGGCUUGUGAUGGCACCAGUGUGUAGUGGGGAAAGACGACGUGGACAUUUUAAAGACUCGUUCAGUCGUCUUGUGUCAUUCAUUCCGUUUCAUGUGGGAUUUAUUUUUUCUUCUCCCCCUCAAGAAAGUAAAGCCAAUCUUUUGUAAUGGGUAGGACGGUCUCGUAUCAGUAGAGAAUACACGCAGCCUAUCUCCGUACAUUAUUUUUAAAAUAAAUUGGAGGGCUUGUUUUGGCUCUGAUCCGAGCCAGGGACCUGCCUCAUGAGCGGGGCAAAUAAUCUAUGGCUGACCCCAGGGAUCUGCUUCACGCAACGGUUUGAGACAAUCCACCUCCACUCCACUCUAGGAUGCCUUUCUGAACAAAAGCCACUCAUGCAUCGGGAAGAUCAGCAACCCCCUCCUCAUUUGACUCCAGGAUCAAAGUUGGCCUUUGAAUGCGCGCACCUCCUCCCAAAGAGGGGCCCCAUUGCUCCCAGCUGCAGCACGGCGGGGGGGGGGGGGGAUAAUCCUUAGUUCGUAGCCCAAGCUUGUGUCCACCUGAGCAGAGACUGGUUGAGGGGGAAAGAGAGAGAGAGCAGGCACAAAAUUCACCUGGACCCCUAAACGGAGUCCUAUAGGCGCAACUGACACUUCACCGUAGUAGCUGUUCCGUCCUCAUUCUGAGUGGAGGCAGGCAAGAGGUACUCCACAGUAGGGUGGUGGGGGGGGGGGGGGGGGCAUAGACCGCCACACUGACGGCUGCACGCCCACCUUGGCCCUGGUGCUCGCACUUCUCGAUUUCUUAACGCUGGGUGGGGCGGGGCGGGGUGGAGGGAGGGGAGGGGAGGGCGGGAGCCUCCAGGCAAUGCAGAAAUGUGGGACUGUCUGGUAUAAUAAAUGUGUGUUCAAUGGAGUUUGUGUCUGUAAUUGGGCACGGCGCUGCCUAGCGGUAGUGAAAUGUCAAGGUAGUAUAAAAACUGAAAGAGAUUUUAAAUUGAAAAAAAAAAAAUUCAUUAAAUAAAAGAUUUGCUGUACGCUG